rnacentral:snRNA from 2 species
GUGCUCGCUUUGGCAGCACAUAUACUAAAAUUGGAAUGAUACAGAGAAGAUUAGCAUGGCCCCUGCGCAAGGAUGACACACAAAUUCUUCCACAUUUUU